UCCGUAGGUGAACCUGCGGAGGGAUCAUUACCGAGUUUACAACUCCCAAACCCCUGUGAACAUACCUUAAUGUUGCCUCGGCGGAUCAGCCCGCGCCCCGUAAAACGGGACGGCCCGCCAGAGGACCCAAACUCUAAUGUUUCUUAUUGUAACUUCUGAGUAAAACAAACAAAUAAAUCAAAACUUUCAACAACGGAUCUCUUGGUUCUGGCAUCGAUGAAGAACGCAGCAAAAUGCGAUAAGUAAUGUGAAUUGCAGAAUUCAGUGAAUCAUCGAAUCUUUGAACGCACAUUGCGCCCGCUGGUAUUCCGGCGGGCAUGCCUGUUCGAGCGUCAUUUCAACCCUCAAGCCCCCGGGUUUGGUGUUGGGGAUCGGCUCUGCCCUUCUGGGCGGUGCCGCCCCCGAAAUACAUUGGCGGUCUCGCUGCAGCCUCCAUUGCGUAGUAGCUAACACCUCGCAACUGGAACGCGGCGCGGCCAUGCCGUAAAACCCCAACUUCUGAAUGUUGACCUCGGAUCAGGUAGGAAUACCCGCUGAACUUAAGCAUAUCAAUAAGCGGAGGAA
rnacentral:rRNA from 2 species